GAACGCUAGCGAUAGGCUUAACCACAUGCAAGUCGAGGGGCGGCACAAGGUAGCUUGCCAUCUGGGUGGCGACCGGCGCACGGGUGCGUAACGCGUAUGCAACUUGCCCUAUACAGGAGGAUAACCCGUCGAAAGACGGACUAAUACUGCGUAUGCUCACAGCUUGGCAUCGAGUGGUGAGGAAAGAAAUUCGGUAUAGGAUAGGCAUGCGUCCCAUUAGCUUGUUGGUGAGGUAACGGCUCACCAAGGCCACGAUGGGUAGGGGAACUGAGAGGUUUAUCCCCCACACUGGUACUGAGACACGGACCAGACUCCUACGGGAGGCAGCAGUGAGGAAUAUUGGUCAAUGGGCGCGAGCCUGAACCAGCCAAGUCGCGUGAAGGAUGACUGUCUUAUGGAUUGUAAACUUCUUUUAUACGGGAAUAACAAGAGUCACGUGUGACUCCCUGCAUGUACCGUAUGAAUAAGCAUCGGCUAACUCCGUGCCAGCAGCCGCGGUAAUACGGAGGAUGCGAGCGUUAUCCGGAUUUAUUGGGUUUAAAGGGUGCGUAGGCGGUUUGUUAAGUCAGCGGUGAAAUCUAGAGGCUCAACCUCGAAACUGCCGUUGAAACUGGCGAACUUGAGUGUAGAUGAGGUAGGCGGAAUUCGUGGUGUAGCGGUGAAAUGCAUAGAUAUCACGAGGAACUCCAAUUGCGAAGGCAGCUUACUAAGGUACAACUGACGCUGAAGCACGAAAGCGUGGGUAUCAAACAGGAUUAGAUACCCUGGUAGUCCACGCAGUAAACGAUGAUAACUGGGCGUAUGCGAUAUACAGUAUGCUCCUGAGCGAAAGCGUUAAGUUAUCCACCUGGGGAGUACGCCGGCAACGGG
rnacentral:rRNA from 1 species